UGGAAUUUGAAAACAGAAUUUUUGAGUACAUAUUCAGGAAUAUUUAUAAUGUCCCCUAUGAAGGAAUGUACAAUAGGAAAGUGAAAUACAAUAUUCAUUCAACGAAAGGUGUGUAGGUAAAGUACUGGCCUUUAUAAAAUUAAGAAAACCUAGAAAAUUGAACUGUAUGUCACAGGAAUUGACCUGGGAAUAAAAAUAUUAUCCAGAAGAAUCUCCUCCACUCCAAGUUCCUAAAUAAUUUCUAUCCAUGCCAUGCCCCUGACUCAUUUUCUCCAUUCAGAAGUCACUAGCUUUAGAGAGAUGGAGAACGAAAGUUUCCACUGUGUCACAGGAGACAUACCUAAAUUGGCACCCUCAAAACUGGUUAAUGUAAGGAAAGCUGUUUAGAGUCAGGCCACGGCAGUUCUCAGUGACAAUAUCAUUAGGCUCUCCCUGAAAAAUCUCUUGUAUCCUUGAGAGCACUAGCUUCUUCUGUGAUGUAAUAAGUGUUGUCCUGACUGCAAAUGCCUCUCAGAUAUUACUUCAGUACCUAUAGGUUUUACUAAUUGGCCUCAAAUUCAGGGGAAACAGUCAUUAGGGAGGGAGAACAAAGACGAUGAAGAAAUCAGAGAUGGGGAGAACGAAGCUGGUCUUCUGUCUUGGUAUAAAAGAAGGAAGAAAUACAUCAUCCCUGAGAAAUCUCACUGAAGCCUUGGUAGGAGUGGAAUAUGAAAAAUAGUCCUGAGGAAGGAGGGACAACAAGUAUUGUAUCGUCAUGUCAUCUCAAGAAAAACUCUCAAAACUCAUCCUGGCUGACAAUGUAGAUUAGACGCAUCAGAUGAAAUGAAUUGAAAAACUCUCCUGGGAAUGAAAGUGGUAAGGAAAUCACAUUGAUGUAUCCUAAAUGCAGUGCUAAGAGCAAUAUUCAGACUAGUCUGUGGAGAUGCUGCUGUCAUCAGAGACCACAGACAAUUAGUGGAGAAUGAUUCAGCAUUAAACUGGGAAUGGAAGAUGAUGGUUGAUAUUGUUCUAGUAGAUCUCACUACAUUAAAAAGUGUUUCUUCCAGAUAACUGAAUGAUUAUUGUAAAGCAAAUCCCGGAAUGAACUUAUGAGACCCACCAUCAGCCUGUCAAAUAAUGUGCGAAAGAAGAAAUCUGUGUCUCUCCAGGGACAAAUUGUUGCUUUCAAACCAACAGUAAAGUGUCCAUUCUA